CGGAUUUGGCAUGGGCGAAAGCCUGAUCAGCAAUGCCGCGUGUGUGAAGAAGGCCUUCGGGUUGUAAAGCACUUUUGUCCGGAAAGAAAUCCUUUGGGUUAAUACCUCGGGGGGAUGACGGUACCGGAAGAAUAAGCACCGGCUAACUACGUGCCAGCAGCCGCGGUAAUACGUAGGGUGCAAGCGUUAAUCGGAAUUACUGGGCGUAAAGCGUGCGCAGGCGGUUUUGUAAGACGGAUGUGAAAUCCCCGGGCUUAACCUGGGAACUGCAUUCGUGACUGCAAGGCUAGAGUAUGGCAGAGGGGGGUAGAAUUCCACGUGUAGCAGUGAAAUGCGUAGAGAUGUGGAGGAAUACCGAUGGCGAAGGCAGCCCCCUGGGCCAAUACUGACGCUCAUGCACGAAAGCGUGG
rnacentral:rRNA from 1 species